CCUACGGGUGGCAGCAGUGAGGAAUAUUGGUCAAUGGGCGCGAGCCUGAACCAGCCAAGUAGCGUGAAGGAUGACUGCCCUACGGGUUGUAAACUGCUUUUAUAAAGGAAUAAAGUGAGUCACGUGUGCCUUAUUGUAUGUACUUUAUGAAUAAGGAUCGGCUAAUUCCGUGCCAGCAGCCGCGGUCAUACGGAGGAUCCGAGCGUUAUCCGGAUUUAUUGGGUUUAAAGGGAGCGUAGGUGGGUUGUUAAGUCAGUUGUGAAAGUUUGCGGCUCAACCGUAAAAUUGAAAUGGAUACUGGCAGUCUUGAGUACAGUUGAAGUAGGCGGAAAUCGGGGUGUAGCGGUGAAAUGCUUAGCUAUCCCGAAGAACUCCGAUUGCGAAGGCAGCUUUAUAAACUGCCAAUGACAUUGAUGCUCGAAAGUGUGGGUAUCAAACAGGAUUAGAUACCCCUGGUAGUC
rnacentral:rRNA from 1 species